UACGGGGGGAGCAAGCGUUGUUCGGAUUUACUGGGCGUAAAGGGCGCGUAGGCGGCCUCCGCAAGUCAGUUGUGAAAUCUCCGAGCUUAACUCGGAAAGGUCAACUGAUACUGCGGGGCUAGAGUGCGGAAGGGGCAACUGGAAUUCCUGGUGUAGCGGUGAAAUGCGCAGAUAUCAGGAGGAACACCGGUGGCGAAGGCGGGUCUCUGGGCCGAUACUGACGCUGAGGAGCGAAAGCGUGGGGAGCGAACAGG
rnacentral:rRNA from 1 species